GAUGAACGCUGGCGGCGUGCCUAAUACAUGCAAGUCGAGCGAACGGACGAGAGGCUUGCUUCUCUGAUGUUAGCGGCGGACGGGUGAGUAACACGUGGAUAACCUACCUAUAAGAUUGGGAUAACUUCGGGAAACCGGAGCUAAUACCGGAUGAUAUUUUGAACCGCAUGGUUCAAAAGUGAAAGACGGUCUUGCUGUCACUUAUAGAUGGAUCCGCGCUGCAUUAGCUAGUUGGUAAGGUAACGGCUUACCAAGGCAACGAUGCAUAGCCGACCUGAGAGGGUGAUCGGCCACACUGGAACUGAGACACGGUCCAGACUCCUACGGGAGGCAGCAGUAGGGAAUCUUCCGCAAUGGGCGAAAGCCUGACGGAGCAACGCCGCGUGAGUGAUGAAGGUCUUCGGAUCGUAAAACUCUGUUAUUAGGGAAGAACAUAUGUGUAAGUAACUGUGCACAUCUUGACGGUACCUAAUCAGAAAGCCACGGCUAACUACGUG
rnacentral:rRNA from 1 species